UACGUAGGGGGCAAGCGUUGUCCGGAAUCAUUGGGCGUAAAGAGCGUGUAGGCGGCCAGAUAAGUCCGCUGUGAAAUCUCGAGGCUCAACUUCGAGCUGUCGGUGGAAACUGUCUGGCUAGAGUCCGGAAGAGGAGAAUGGAAUUCCUGGUGUAGCGGUGAAAUGCGUUGAGAUCGGAAGGAACGCCCGUGGCGAAAGCGAGGUCCUGGAUGCCUACUGACGCUGAGACGCGAAAGCCAGGGGAGCGAACGGG
rnacentral:rRNA from 1 species